rnacentral:rRNA from 1 species
UACGAAGGGUGCAAACGUUGCUCGGAAUUAUUGGGCGUAAAGCGCACGUAGGCGGCAUCGCAAGUCGGAUGUGAAAUCUUAUGGCUUAACCAUAAAAGUGCAUCCGAAACUGCAGUGCUUGAGUACUUAAGAGGAUCGCGGAAUUCCCGGUGUAGAGGUGAAAUUCGUAGAUAUCGGGAGGAACACCAGUGGCGAAGGCGGC